GAUAUAGUUUUGUCUUACUGCAGUGAAAGACUGUAUUUUAGGAGCUCACAGCUGGGCUCCCUGUGAGGUCACUUGGUUCCAGAACAGACUCCUACCCAAGCCUGCUUAUGCAGUAUGUUUUCAACUACACUAAAUCACCAACUUUUAUCCCUUCUCUUGACAGCCUGACUUCACAGAGAGAAGAUGUGAGAGGCACCCACAGCAUCCACCCCAGACAAUGGUACAGAUGAUGCCACUGGGGUUCGUUGCCUAGAUAAAGUGCAAAGAGGAACAUAGCUAAGACAAAUACAGCCAAACAGCUCAGCAUGGAGCUGCUACCACAGGGAUAUAAAUAAGCACAGAAUUAAAGCAUCGCCCUCAUCUCCGUUGUUAAGAAAAAACAUUUUUGUCUGAAGUAUUAUCCACAAGCAUGUGGCAGUGCACAACUGUAUCCCAUUCAGUGUCAGUGUCUUUCUUCCCUUGAGACCAGACUUCUCAUCUGCCACACAGCCCAGGACAGAAGCAGUCUAAAUUAUUUCAGUGCUGUGUACUUACUUUGCUCAGCACCUCAGAUCACAGCCUGAUAAAACCAGUGUGCAUUUUUUACACGACCAUCCUCUCUCUGUAAUACCUUUACUUGGUUUGCAUAAAGUUACUUUUAGAAGGAAGAUUCAGAAUGAAGCCGGUGUCUCCAAAUAACAUUGAGUAAACAUUUUCUUGCAAGAAAAGCACAAAAAUGAGAGAGAAAAGCCAGCUGCAAUAGUCUGAGAACAGAAAACAGUGCUCUAGGAACCUGCUGAAAGAAGCACUGAUCUUUCAUAUUACUACUUAGGCUACACUGCCAUAUUUAAAAGAAAAAGGCCUUGGCAAGGAAAAUAAGCCCAUGCUACUCCUCUAAUAGAUUUAUGAAUUUAACUGUCAAGUGAAAGCUAGACUGGCUUUUUUCCUUAGAAAGUGCAUUAAUGAAGAAGUCUCCUAUGAACGCAUUUAAUUUGAACAAACUUUCCUACAAGCUCGAUAGGCAGGUCAGAAAACAUCAACUUCAGCUUGGAAUGGUUGGAAAGCUUAACAAGUGAACAAAAUUUCAGAAAAAGGAGAAAAAAAUGCACGGCCUCAUUUUCCUACUAGCUGUUGACCUUGACAGUCUUCUUAUGCACUGGCAGCUGCUGGCUCUCAACCACCGAGUGAUCACAUCAGAGAUAACAGGGCUUUGCUGUGGUAGAAGUCUGAGAUGCUCCUGGAGUUGUUUUCACUUUGUUUUGUUUCAAAUACUUUUUUAUUUCUCCUUUCCAAAUCCCCCCAACAACAACAUUUUACAUGCAACGUUUCAAUGCAGAAAAGUUAGUAAGAACUGUCACUUAAUCUGGAACUCCUAAGCGUGUUAGAAGAAAAAUGCAAGAGAUUUAAUGCAGCUAUGCAAACCUUCAACCAACUCCAGUAACUCCUGACACCAGGAAGAUGCAAAGCGUUCUGCAGGCAGAGCACAGGAACAGAACUAUGCCAGACAGUGAGCUGGUGAAGAAGACAUCCAGCUACAGAGCAGGUGAGCUCUGAGAUGCAUGACUGCGGCAUAGCCAAGAUGCUGGUGUAUGGGGAGCACGCCAGGUGCCAUCCUAAAUAUGCUCUAAAGGAGAUUAUGAACCCAGUGUCAGUAAUCACUCGCACCAGAGGUCAGACCAAGGGCAAGCAGGACGUGGUAUUUCCAUCUGCAGUCUGUGCCGAUGGCACGCUGGAUUGGCUGCUGGUUCUUCACAAGCUUAGGAAGGCCCAUCUCUGAAGGUAAAUCACAGGCACGCAAAUCCCGUCUGUUACACUCACGCACAGCUACAAAAAAAGCAUAAUAAUUCACCGAGGUGCCCUUAUGCAUGUGCUACAUGUUUACUAAACAUAUCCCACGGCAGACAGCAAAAUCCAAGCCGGCACUGGAGGUUCAGAGGCCGUAACAGCUUAACGCAGUGCUCACACAGCACCCUCAGGCCUCGCACCGUUCUCCUCAGCCCCUAAAAGCAGCGCAGCUCACAAAAUAACCGCCUUCCCAAAGAUCCGAUCCUGCUGCGCGACCCACGGCCGCACCACGGCCGGGCUCGGGCGCCGGGCUCAGGCUGACAGGAUCACAACGACGCCGCUUUAAACGCCACCUCCGCGCCUCCUUCGCUUCGUCCGUCACCUUCAGAACUCCGCGGGCGGAUCCGGCCCCGCGGGAAGCACACGCGGCAGGAGCCGAGCGCAGUUACAUAAGGCCACGCGUGGAGCCGCACGCACCGCACAGAAUAUCGCAGUGCCGAGGAAGGCACCGGGCACACCCGCGCCGCGCUGACGCGAGGGCGGAUAUCCGCGCCCCACGUUCCUCUCCCAGCUCCGCCCGGCGGGACCCGCGGCCGUCGAGGGCCGCGGCGGGGCCUGCGCGGGGCGGCCGGCACUCCGCCGGACGGUAAGUUCCCCGCUCGGCCCGGCGGGCGGUGAGGAAGGUCACGGCGGCCGCCGCCCACCCGGCGGAAGCUCGCGAGCCGCCCCCCCGCCCCAGGCGGAGGCCCGCGGUGCGGCGGGCGGGCCCUACCUUUCUUGGCUUUCGGGGAGUGCCGCCGGCUCCGGGCGCUGGCUCGCUCUUCCUCAAUAGCGGCGGCUAUCUCCGGGUCGUCCUCCCCAUUGUACCACACCAACAGCUCCUCGCCGGGCGCGAUUGGCUGCAGGGAGAGAAGAGAGAGGCGCGGAACCAAUCAGCGGGCGGCUUGUUGGCGGCGGGCCCCCGCGCGCCGAGGGAGACGUCGACGGCGCCCCCUGGCGGCCGGAGGGCGCGCGGCGCGGAGCCCCCUCAGCCCCGCCCCCCCCGAAAGCGGGGGCCGAGGCGGCAGCAGGCCCCGCGGCCCAGCAGCUGUCACACGGACUCCAGCCCAGGCAUCACGCUACAGCCAAGGGUGGCCCGAGACUAUUUCAAGUCUGAAGCCAAAGGGGACUUUUGUAUAAGGAACAAUGGCAGAAUCUGUUCCUUCUGAAGCACUUUUUUUUUCCUCCAGAAGGCCUCGCAGUGCUUGACAAGAGGUGACAGCUAUCUUUAUGUCCUCUGGCACUGCAGUGAGAGAUGCAAGUGUUUAAGUUACAUCGUAACUUAUUAAGUUAAGCAUUUAGGUUAUAAUAUAAGCAAAGCCUGCUGUUUGCCCUCCUUAGCAGCUCUGCAGGGCUGACACGAUAGUGGUCAACGUAUUUUAUAGAACCACAGAAUGGUUGGAGUUGGGAGGGACCCUGAAGGCCAUCAGGUCCAACCCCUGCGCUGAGCAGGGACACCCACAGCUCCAUCAGUGCUCAGAGCCCCAUUCCCUGACCUCAGCUGUCUGCACCACCUCUAUGGGCAGUCUGCGCAGUGCCUCACCUCCCUUCUUCCUUAUAUCCAACCCGGAUCUCCCCUCUUUUAGCAGCAAUCCAUUUCCCUGUCCCAUCACCACACACCCUGCUGAAGAAUCUGUCCCCUUCUCACAGCCCCUUUAGACACACAGCCCCCUCUCAGCUCUCCCUGCAGCCUUCUCCCCUCCAUGCUGCACAGCCCCAGUUCUCAGCCUGUCCUCAUGUUCCAUCCCUCAGAGCACUUCUGUGGCCCUCCUCUGGAUGCACUCCAACAGGUCCACAUCUCUCCUGUACUGAGGACACCACAUUUGUGCACCAGCUCAGGUCUCACCAGCACAGAGAAGAGGUAGGAUCAACUCCCUCAACCUGCUGGCCACGCUUCUGUUGGUAUUUGCAUGGUUCCAUCUUGCAGCUAGCAUAAAGGAGAGUUAUCUGA